CCUACGGGAGGCAGCAGUGGGGAAUAUUGCACAAUGGGGGAAACCCUGAUGCAGCGACGCCGCGUGAGUGAAGAAGUAAUUCGUUAUGUGAAGCUCGAUCAGCAGGGAAGAAAAUGACGGUACCUGCGUAAGAAGCCCCGGCUAACUACGUGCCAGCAGCCGCGGUAAUACGUAGGGGGCAAGCGUUAUCCGGAUUUACUGGGUGUAAAGGGUGCGUAGACGGCAGUGCAAGUCUGGAGUGAAAGGCGGGGGCUCAACCCCCGGACUGCUCUGGAAACUGUAAGGCUGGAGUGCAGGAGAGGUAAGUGGAAGUCCUGGGGUAGCGGUGAAAUGCGUAGAUAUUAGGAGGAACACCAGUGGCGAAGGCGGCUUACUGGACUGUAACUGACGUUGAGGCUCGAAAGCGUGGGGAGCAAACAGGAUUAGAUACCCGAGUAGUC
rnacentral:rRNA from 1 species